rnacentral:sRNA from 1 species
UCUUUUCGCCUUUACGUCACAUCACGUC